AGACCGAGAAGGAGAGAGUAUGAGAGGCAACUCCCAUCUUUUCAUGUGCUGUGUAUUUAUACCUGCCUACUGUAUUUGCCACUCCAUGCAGCUCUUGAAGUGGGUUCUAGCCCAUGAAAGCUUAUGCCCAAAUAAAGGUGCCACAAGGACUCCUUGUUUUUGCUGCUACAGACUAACAGCGCUACCCCUCUGAAAAGUGAGCGAGAAGGAGAGGGAGCGUGAAAGAACGAAGGAGAUGCAGGGGCAGAGAAGGGUGUGGAGGCGCCGCAGACAACAAGAAAGGGAGAGGAAAAGAGACCGUGUCGGUGGGGAAGAGAAAAGAGGCAGCUGCUGAGAGUUUCUGCAGCAUCUGAGGGAGGCGAAGCGACAUUAGAAAUCCCAGAAUCCAUCCAUAAAAGACAGUUGGCAGAGAAAAGUCACAGCCGCCGCCAGUGUGCUCCGAUAAUGAAGAUGUGUGGCUGACUUGUGGAAAGGAUUCACACAGAAGAUCACUUUUAGCCAGAACAUGAAAUUUCUGGGUUGUGCUUUGGGCCAUGAAAAGGAAGAGAGGCACUUACAUUGCAUUAAAAUCCCACAACCUCCUAAAACCUCUUACACCACCCCAGUACCGAUUGCUUAUAUUACGUGGGCCUUAGGCCUUUUCUAUACUUCAAAGGGUUUGCUGGUAUAGAUAUACUGGUAGAGCUGGUCAAACCCUUCCAGUGGAGAUGCAACUUAUAUCUGCGCAAAAGUUCUUUGGCUGGUAUAGCUUAAACAGUUCCCCAAAUGGAAUCAGCUAGGCUGGCAAAAGACCUUUUUUUGCAAUAUAACUGCAUCAACAUUAGGGCUUUUGCCAGUACAGCAAUGUCAAUUAGGGGUGUGGGUUUUUCACACUCCUAACUGACUCAGCUAUGCUGGUAAAACUUUCUAGUGUAGGUCUUAUUCUCCCCUGUUUUACACCCUGGGUAGCCAUUCACACCUGUGCAUAGUAGGUGUAAAAUGCUACUGUUCUGAUUCGGUCGUGUUUGGCAUUCAUUUUGUACUAGUGUGCACCGUUACACAGGAGGGCACAUCAAUUCAGCUGACCACAAACAGGAUGCUGACCUAAAAAGCAGAAGCUUACAACAGCUGUGCCUUUGCACAUCCUUUGGACCUAUAUCUGAUAAUAUAACAAUGCCUGUGUUGAAUGUGUACAGCUAAUGCCGCAGUGAAAUACCAGAGGCAUGUUUAACUGUUUCUCCCCUUCCUUGGAAUCCAUUUUGGAUCACACGUGGCUGGUGAGGGGAGAGGAAGAGAGGAAUGGGGACAGGGAAAUGGAGGUUCAUCUCCCCUCAACUGAAGCUAAACCUGCCCCACAGCAUGUAAUAUUCCCCAUAACGGUAAUGAGAUUAGUCAUAACCAGAACAGGUUAUUAGACAAACAUCUAUCAGGAAUGGUCUAGGUAUACUUGGUCCUGCCUCAGCACUGGGGGAAGGACUAGAUGACCUCUUAAGGUCCAUUCCAGCCCUACUUUUCCAUGAUUCUAUAACCCAACCAACCCAGCCCCUUCAGGCUGCAAUAUCUCGCAUAACAAUAAUAAAGAUGGCAGCAUGUCAUGCCCAUCUGCUGUGCUGCUAUUUCCUCUCUGGUCUGUUCCCUGGUUCCUUCCUCGAACAGGCCCUAGGACUCCAGGCUGAGGCUGCACUGUCUGUGCCCUAAAGCAGUCGGUGUCUGUCUUUCUGCCCCUUCAGUCUCUUCCGGCUCCUUCAGUCCCUCUGUCCCCACUCAGGUAAUAACACUCAAAAGCCCAUCCUGUACAGCCAUGGACUCUGUCCUUGGGGCAGAGCAGAGCUCAUGGUCAGGCUCCUUGUAGUAGGAGCAGGUUGAUGAUGAGUAUACAGCUGGCCGUUGGCAUCUUUUGCCUUGUUGUACCCAGUCUUCAAGUCUUUCCCUGCACUGAAUUCCCUGCCAGCAAAUCCCCUUCUCUGCCAGCCCCUUGGAGAUGUUAUUGCACAUGUAAUGAUUUUGGUUAUGCCUCCCCAAAUCAUGCUCUUUGCUGACCUCACACCAGAGUCCACCAGAACCUUGGUGUCAGCUUCAGCUACCAACACAUUGGAAAGAGGAAUUCCUGGAUGGCAUCUCUGCUCAAGUGCUGCUCAGGAACCAUGCAGAAAUGGAGCAGGCCGUGUGAAAUGUAGGGUUUAAAUGCUGACUGGGAGUCUAUACUGGCAGGUGACUGCUGGAGCAGAUGCAGGUAGUGAGUAGAAAGACAGAGAAAUAUGGCCCUGGGAAACUUGUGGGAAGGCACUGGAGGACUAUCAGCACUCAAGUUAUGUAGUCUGCAUCCACGCUGCAAAGUGGCCGGGUUACAGCCUGGGUUAAACCAGUACCCAGGCUCUAACCUAUAUCCCCAGCUGGGUCAGCUAGUCUGGCUUCGAAGCACCUCCAAACUUUGAUCUGAUAUCAUUGUGUGUGGACAGUAGACGGGGUAGGGGUAAUACACGGUAAAAUCGUGUAUUAACUCUGCAAUGAAGACAUACCCUACGUUAUUACACCAGGCAACAGGCAGUGGAGGAUCAGGCUCUGUAUCGUUACAAAAUUCUUGUCUUUAUUACAAGUUGCACGGGUUUUAUUAAAUCAGUUUUUAAAUCUAUUCUGUUAAACCAGUGAAACUUCCCAUGUGGAUCCUCUAAAAUUGCUUUAAACUUGACAUAUCAACUCAGCUAAAGUCAGUAAGGAAUCAACGUAAGCUAAAUCCAUCUAAGGCAGAUUUAAAGCACAGGUGUCCACACAAAGGUUUUCACUGGUUUAUCUGAAUCGAUUUUAAAAUCCACCUUUAGUUAAAACUGCAUAACUUGUAAUAUAGACAAGUUCACGGUCUGUAUAUAAGAAUUUCACCGGCCUUAUAAAUAUGAUGCAAAGCAAAAGUAAGCACUGUGUAAAAGAAAUCCUGAAGGAUGAAUGCAAAAGUAUUAUACACAUAGAAUAAUACAACAAGAACUGAAAUAUUUUCCAAUAUUUUGAUACUAAUCUUUAUUUAACAAAGAUAAUCCCAUAUUAAACAAAACAUAUAAAACUCUCAGUCUUCAUCUCUCUCCCUGUUUGACAGUUUAUUAUUUGGACUAAAAGAUUAUUAUAAUCAUUUAUUUGUGACAUCACACAAACAUCCCCGUGACAAUUGAAAUAAUAUUUCAUGGAGGAUUAAGGGAAUUUGCAGAAAGAGUGAGUGUUUCAUGUGGGAACAAUCAAAUGUUCACUCCAGGCAUCUCUAUUUUUUGAUCUUAACUUUUUUGUGCCAGUAUCUUUGAUUUGUUUUACAAAUUUAACAUAGACGGGUGGGAUGGGAAGCCACUGAAAAAUCUAAAAUUAUAAUGUGACCAGAUGGAAAUAUUAACUUUAGAAAGUCUGAGCACUAAAACUAACUGUUCUGGGUAUUUGCCUCUUAAAGUGCUUACAUAAAUCAUAUUAGUCUUUAUGAGGAUUAUUUUUUAAAUACACAGACUUUCAGAAGUAUCUUCAUCUCAGAAGGUAGCACAUAGAGCAGACAAGCAUGUAACUGUAAAGUGGGGACUCCAGAGUUCAAAUUCCAGCUCUGACAUUGGCUUGAUGGGUGGUGUUAGACAACUCAGUUGUGGCCAAAUUUUCAGAAAUAGCCUCUGCUUAGUUUUAGACUGGCUGAUUUUACAGAAGGGCUGAGCACCCAGAACUCAAAUUAAAGCAGGCUUGCCAAC